CGGUGUGGCUGUGCUGUAAUGGUAGCAUGUGCUCUCGGUAUGGGCGAGACGCAGGUUCAAUUCCCAUGCCAGGUCGA